CAGCUGAUACAGAGGUGCCAUUUGUGACAUCUUAAUUCCAACAGAGAAGUGCCAUCACAGGUCCAGUGAAUUGUGAAUCUAUCACAGCUGGCAGAACACCUGGAAUUCACAGUGAUCUUUCUAUCAUGAAAUACUAAGAUGCUUGCCAAUCACUAAGACGACCUAAGCCUCAUGUGUCUGCCGACCAGGCUCAUUGUUGUGCAAAGCAGAUCACAAGCUGCCUCGCAAGCCUCCGGUGCCCAUGUGCUCCUCCCUGUCUUGGUUCCUAUUGCUCCUGAUUAUGUGUUAGUCCUCACUGUGCAGUUCAAAUCAAGAAGAGGCACUAAAAAUGGAACUGCUAAAAACACAUUUCCAGAUUAAAUCUGUGAACACAUUAAAAAUAUUAUAAACUA
ensembl:lncRNA DOCK9-AS1 DOCK9 antisense RNA 1